GUGCUUGCUUUGGAAGCACGUAUACUAAAAAAUUGGAACGAUACAGAGUAGAUUAGCAUGGUCCCUGUGCAAGGAUGACACGCAAAUUCGUGAAAGGUUCCAUAUUUUU
ensembl:snRNA U6 U6 spliceosomal RNA